rnacentral:lncRNA from 1 species
GCAGGCACCAUUGCAAGCGCGGCUGUAAGGGGAGCUAAGUCGGCAGCAACAGCUGUCAGAGUUGUGUCCCCUUUGUUGGCAACCGUCAGCAUCCUGGCGCUGCCUCUGGAUCUUGCCGAUUUAAUAACAGCCGCCCACAGUCUGCACAGAGGCGAACGGUCUCCUGCAUCGGAGUCCCUCGAGAGGAUCAUAACCUUCCUUGAUAAGGUCAUCAAGGGUGAGUUGCAGUGAACAGGCUGUCGGCAUUGUGCAGAAACUUUCAUCCAUUACUUGGCCUCGUAAUAUCAGGCUACUGUACAAACAUCAUGUCUGAAACCCAUAUUCUUUAGUGCAAGUGAGGGCGGCCAGUCCUAAAGGGAGCGAGCGCCAGGAAAGGGCGUAUCUGAACAUUAGCGGCGAUGAAUUCACAUCGAGGCUGCAACGCAUUUACAGGCCAGAAGGAGACUGGUCUCUAUUGGGAGAAGAAUCUCAGCUGUUCUGUGUCUAUGAAAGGCGGACACGUUUGAGAAUAUAGAACUGCCAGGGGCCAGGCAUGUAACAAAUGCAGAACAAUUCCUGAAUAUGGUUGUAGGUAGUGGUGCCCUCUUUUGUGCUGGAGUUGUAAAGUCCAUGCUGCUCCAAUUACAUAAAAAAAUCGCAACUGUAAGUGUAAGGUCGCCUUUCCUAUAAUUUUAUUAUUUCCCCUCCCUCUAGGAAUAAAAUGUGGACGAUGUGGACGUAAAGAGCUCACCAAUACUUUAGUUUUUUUGUGAAAUCCCCAAAAUGCAUUUUUGUUGACACUAACAUUAACAUGAAUAGGACUACUUAAAUUUAACCCCUAUUUAGCAAUAAAUCAUUCAAAAAUAAAUCAGAACACUUAGUGUUCCUUCUUCGAAAGCUCAAAUAAUUCUUUGCUGGGGCUGGAUUAAAUCAGCAAAUUAGUGUUAACUUCAUGAUUUUAAAAUUUGGUUCACUUAACCUAACUUUACUCAAAUGGGGUAGGUAAACAAAAUAGGUAAAAGAAAAUUGAUCAUAUUAGAGAAAGGAAAUAUCCCAAAGCAAAAAAACCCCCAAAAAACAAACAAACAAACAACAUCAACAACAACAAAACAAAACAAAAACAAAAAACAAGCAAUAAUGACAGUCCCGAGUUUAGAACACUUCACUUAUCAAACUAAAGCCGCUGUUUGCAACCACUAGGCUACAGAAGCGUAGCUCACGAAGUCCUCUAAUCAAACCUACUUGAAGUUAUCAUCGUCCGUGUUGUGUUCGGUCCUCAUUUAUUUUACCUGUUACCAGUUGCAGGCCUUGAGUUAUUUUGCUUGUCGCAAUUCACUUUAUGCCUCCCUUCCUAGUGUUUAAAAGUUGUUGAAUUAACCCCAGAACAAGUUUCAUGGCUGGCAAAGAGUGAAGUGGAGGUUUUUACUCAGUGUGGUCGGCUCAGCUCGCUGACGUCACGCUUCCGAAGGUUCCCGAAGUUUUUCCCUUCACUGCGACCUUUGCGAAAAAUAAAUCAGCGCCCCGGGGCUUGUUCGCUCUCGGCGGCCAUUGAAUACAUUAAACUAAUUGUGACCAUGAAAGAACCUAAUCUCGAAGCAUUGCUACAGCGAGAAUGUAACUAUUGAAAACUACUCAUUCAGUGGAAAUGUUACUCUAAAGGAAUUUGUCAGGAAUAUCUCAUUACUUCAUUUUUUUUUCUUGUUCUCGCUCCAUGAAUACGGUCAGAGAUUGUACAGUUAGGUUAGUACCCAAAGUAUUAGAAUCUUUUGACUGAUACGAUAAUGAAGGAAAAUUUUAAGAUGAAACCUGGCCAAAACUGUAAAGUGAAAAAACGCAAAAUACCCGUUCAGCAAUUGUGAAAUCCUACAGCUUGAAAUAAAAAUGUUUCUUGAGUAUAAA